GACGUAGGGCGCGAGCGUUGUCCGGAUUUAUUGGGCGUAAAGAGCUCGUAGGCGGUUUGUCACGUCGAAUGUGAAAUCUUAGGGCUCAACCCUGACAUUGCAUUCGAUACGGGCAGGCUAGAGUUCGGUAGGGGAGACUGGAAUUCCUGGUGUAGCGGUGAAAUGCGCAGAUAUCAGGAGGAACACCUGCGGUGUAGACGGCUUUCUGGACCAUUGUUGACGCUGAGACACGAAAGCGUGGGUAGCAAACAGG
rnacentral:rRNA from 1 species